GCCUGAAAUCUAGCCCACAUAAACCCCAUGUAACCCUCAACCCACUGCCCCAUAACAAAACAUUUUAACAUUUUAGUACAGGAGAUCAAAAAAUUCCUAGGCGCUUCAGAUAAAGUACCGCAAGGGAACGAUGAAAUAAAAAUGAAAUAAUUUUAAAGCCAUAAAUAGCAGAGAUCUCCCCUCGUACCUUUUGCAUCAUGGUCUAGCCAGUUUUAACAAGCAAAAAGAAAAUUUAAGUUUGUCACCCCGAAACUAAGCGAGCUACUUCAAAACAGCCCCAGGGGGCCAACCCGUCUCUGUUGCAAAAGAGUGGGAAGAUUUUUAAGUAGAGGUGAUAAACCUACCGAGCCUAGAGAUAGCUGGUUGUUCAGGAAAAGAGUCUUAGCUCUACCUUAAGUUUCUUUAUUAUAUCAAGAUAUACCUUAAACUUAAGUGCUAUUCAAAUAAGGCACAGCUUAUUUGAAAAAGGAUACAACCUAUAAUAUUGGGUAAAUAAGGGCAACCAAACAAAGUGGGCCUAAAAGCAGCCACCUUUUAAAAAGCGUUACAGCUUAAUCAUCUUUACACCCCCUAAUUAAUUUAGUUCCCCUCAACCCUUCAUCAAUACUGAACUGUUUUAUACUUUUAUAAAAGUCAUUAUGCUAGAACUAGUAACAAGAAUUUGCCCUUCUCCAAAAUGUAAGUAUAAGCCAAAACGGACUAUCCACUGGCUCUUAACGUAAAUCCACACAAUAUAGUAACAAACAUCUAGAAAACCCUAUAAUCUUAAACGUUAACCUUACACCAGAACAUUUCAGGAAAGAUUAAAAGAGAAAGAAGGAACUCGGCAAACUUUAGCCCCGCCUGUUUACCAAAAACAUCGCCUCUUGACUAACAUAAGAGGUCCAGCCUGCCCAGUGACAAAGUUUAACGGCCGCGGUACCCUAACCGUGCAAAGGUAGCAUAAUCACUUGUUCUUUAAAUAGGGACUCGUAUCAACGGCAUCACGAGGGCUAUACUGUCUCCUCCCUCCAAUCAGUGAAACUGAUCUCCCCGUGAAGAAGCGGGGAUUUAGUUAUAAGACGAGAAGACCCCAUGGAGCUUUAAGCAACAUAUUUAUCUUCAUAUACUUAAACCAAACUAAUAAAAAGAACUAAAUACUAGCUUUAGGUUGGGAGGACCGCGGAGUAAAAUAUAACCUCCACGACAAACGGGCUACGCCCUUAUCCACGAGCCACAACUCUAAGAAUCAAUAAACUGAUGUUUAAUGACCCGAUAAUUCGAUCAACGAACCAAGUUACCCUGGGGAUAACAGCGCAAUCUACUUCAAGAGCCCCUAUCGACAAGUAGGUUUACGACCUCGAUGUUGGAUCAGGGUAUCCCAGUGGUGCAGCCGCUACUAAAGGUUCGUUUGUUCAACGAUUAAAACCCUACGUGAUCUGAGUUCAGACCGGAGUAAUCCAGGUCGGUUUCUAUCUAUAAAGAGUCUCCCCUAGUACGAAAGGAUCGGGGUGACAUGGCCAAUGCCCAAAUAAGCCAUACCCCUCCACUAAUGAAAAUAUCUUAAUUAGCUCCGACCUAUAAACCCACCCUAGACCAGGGUA
rnacentral:rRNA from 1 species